AUUGAACGCUGGCGGCAGGCCUAACACAUGCAAGUCGAACGAGUGGCGGACGGGUGAGUAAUGUCUGGGAAACUGCCUGAUGGAUGGGGAUAACUACUGGAAACGGUAGCUAAUACCGCAUACCAUCAGAUGGGCCCAGAUGGGAUUGGCUUGUUGGUGGGGUAACGGCUCACCAAGGCGACGAUCCCUAGCUGGUCUGAGAGGAUGACCAGCCACAGUGGAAAGGAGACACGGUCCAGAUUCCUACGGAAGGCAGCAUUGGGAAAUAUGGCAAAAGGGGCGCAAGCCUGAUGUAGCAAUGCCGCGUGUAUGAAGAAGGCCUUCGGGUUGUAAAGUACUUUCAGCGGGGAGGCGUUACCCGCAGAAGAAGCACCGGCUAACUCCGUGCCAGCAGCCGCGGUAAUAC
rnacentral:rRNA from 1 species